UACGGAAGGGGCGAGCGUUGUCCGGAAUCAUUGGGCGUAAAGGGCGCGUAGGUGGUGCUGUAUGUCUCCCGUGAAAGCCCACGGCUCAACCGUGGUGUGUCGGGAGAAACUGCAGGACUUGAGGCUGGGAGGGGCUGGUGGAAUUCCCUGUGUAGCGGUGAAAUGCGUAGAGAUGGGGGAGAACACUCGUGGCGAAGGCGGCCAGCUAGACCAGUUCUGACACUGAGGCGCGACAGCGUGGGGAGCAAACGGG
rnacentral:rRNA from 1 species